CGAGGACUCAUACAGGGUGGACUCCAGCAGAUCGAUGGGGUUGGGCACCCCCUUGCGGAAGGCGCCCUGGAACUUCAUGCGCAGAUUUGGUCGCCCAUCGCCUGGGCCAGCAGGGCGACUGGCAUCAGCCGAUGAGGAAGCAGCUUUCAAAGGCAGCAAACAGCUUGCAGGAAGAAGGGCUGGACUUGAACCAUGUCUCUCUGGCUCCCGGGUCCAGUGCUUAGCCAGGAGUCAGUGCAAGGGAGGGGCAAGGCCCCACUGGUUGGCUGUCGGUGCCCUGUUCUCUGUAGCAUGGUGCCAGCCAGGCGGGGCUGGGAACCAAGGGUGAGUUUCCUGGAACUUUUACCACCCCACCCGGGAGGCAGGGGCAUGUCUGAAAAGCCCUCUCUUGUACAUCUCACCCUUCCCACCCAAUACGCACGUAGAAAAACAAAUAAACUAGUUUCCACCUUG